AUGGACGCAAGUCUGAUGGAGCAACGCCGCGUGAGUGAAGAAGGCUUUCGGGUCGUAAAACUCUGUUGUUGGAGAAGAAUGGUCGGCAGAGUAACUGUUGUCGGCGUGACGGUAUCCAACCAGAAAGCCACGGCUAACUACGUGCCAGCAGCCGCGGUAAUACGUAGGUGGCAAGCGUUAUCCGGAUUUAUUGGGCGUAAAGCGAGCGCAGGCGGUUUUUUAAGUCUGAUGUGAAAGCCCUCGGCUUAACCGAGGAAGUGCAUCGGAAACUGGGAAACUUGAGUGCAGAAGAGGACAGUGGAACUCCAUGUGUAGCGGUGAAAUGCGUAGAUAUAUGGAAGAACACCAGUGGCGAAGGCGGCUGUCUGGUCUGUAACUGACGCUGAGGCUCGAAAGCAUGGGUAGCGAACAGGAUUAGAUACCCUGGUAGUCCAUGCCGUAAACGAUGAAUGCUAGGUGUUGGAGGGUUUCCGCCCUUCAGUGCCGCAGCUAACGCAUUAAGCAUUCCGCCUGGGGAGUACGACCGCAAGGUUGAAACUCAAAGGAAUUGACGGGGGCCCGCACAAGCGGUGGAGCAUGUGGUUUAAUUCGAAGCAACGCGAAGAACCUUACCAGGUCUUGACAUCUUUUGAUCACCUGAGAGAUCAGGUUUCCCCUUCGGGGGCAAAAUGACAGGUGGUGCAUGG
rnacentral:rRNA from 2 species